rnacentral:lncRNA from 1 species
UGCAUAUAAAUGUCAUAUAUGUUAAAAGCCGGCUUUGAGAACAGAUGAAAAGUAAAUUUCAUUUGCUACAGACACACUGGUCCUAGUUAAAAUUCUACCGAUAUCAAAUCAAAUAAUGCUUCAACCCCAACACUUUCGUCUGAACUUUUUGUACCAUCCUAGGUGUGAAAAAAUUAUUUAACAAAUUCAAGGAUGAUAUCUACCUAUUCAUGGAUCCAUAAACUAUUCAUAAUUGCAUGUUUGAAGUUGAAACAAUAGGCACUAUUCAUAAUUGCAUGUUUGAAAUUGAAACAAUAGCCUUUUGCCACAUCAGGGGGGGACAAUUGGUCAGGACGAAAGUGUUGGAACAAGUACUAUUUUUGCAACAAACCAUAAGAAUCAAUUGAAAUUAAAUGGUGUUGCAUAUUACAUAAGCUAUAUUUGAUCUUAUACCGGCCUAGGAUUAAUGUGUGGUGGUCUCUCCACCUAUUGGGGCUAUUUCAUCAGAUUUUUUUCGGUAGCUUAGGGUUUGUUUCGGGUGAGGACAGGCUUUAAGGGUCUCGGGUCAUUGCUAUUCUAAGUUGAAGUCAGCCUUAUAUGCAGAUAAAGUACCUGUCUCAGCAAUCGGUCAACUGAAAGUAGCUAAGAAAGUCCAGCCUAGGUAUAAGGCCACCACAAACCUCAAAUGUAACUGAUGUGAGCUAUAACACCAAUUAUUUCUCUGCCUUGUAUGUAGGUUUUUGAAAAACAACUGACAGUAUCUAGCUCAUCACUUGGACCAUAAAUACUAGGAAACAAACUACAAAUGGAGGAACCAUUAUUAACCUAGUUUUUAUAAACACGGCAAGGCAUCCAACCCAAAACCAAAUGGAAAAUGAUUUGGAAACUAAAGGACUGCUUGAGUGCUUGUUUCAUGAAGACUUCUGGAAAAUGGACUUUUUUCCUGGAAAAGUUUGUACAUUUUGUAGUCUGGAUGAUUCUAUUUAAAACAUUAAUGGUUGUUCGACUUUUUCCUAAAAUUCUGCACUGAUAAAAAGGGAUCAAUCCCUGCACUAAAGGAAUCAACCCUUUUUUUCUUUCCUUCAACUUCUAUUCAUAGGAGGUGGAUCUCCGUUUGCUUUGCUUCAGCUUCUAUACAAGAAGGUAUUGCCCCUUCAGAAAAUAACUUGUGCUUUUCAAAAAACAUGAGAGAUUUUCUGGAGAAGGGGUAUUUUUCCAUUGACUUGAGUUCUUUUUCUAUUGGCCAAGCUUUUUUUCGAAAAAUAAGCACAGAAAAUACAGAAAUCAAUUUUCAGAAGUCACUUAAUGUGAAACAAAUGGACCCGAACUGAUAAAGUGAUUCAAUCACAUACCAAA